GAAUUUUUCUUCGUAUCUCUGUUUGCCUUCGAAUACCGGGACCAUGCUGGCGAAACCUGUACGAUGCAGUGUAUUAAAACACUCGUGCAGAUUUCGCAAAUUUUGCGGAGAAACCAAAAGUCACCGAAUCGAAUUCUGAUGUGAGAAGGGGUUAAGGGAAAAAGUUAAUACAAUUUAAUGAAAUAAUUCAGACAAAAGCCUGCACUUUUUCAAUGCACGUACAUUUCGACAUUCAAAAUAUUUCUAAUAAAGUCGUAAACAAAAUUAAUAUCAUCACUUUCUAUAUGCGUCAAGAGAUGAACAUAAAACAAAUAUUCCGAUUUUGCAACUAGACAAACAAGCAGAAAUUUCAAAUAACACGAUAAUCGUUAUUGUUCUUAUUUCCAAAUAACUUAAUUAUGAUCACUUUGAAAUUUCAUCUCCUUGAUAUAUAUCCAAAUUGUUCAUGGUAUUCAUUAAAGCACUUUCUAUUGCAUUUCCAGAAUAGGAUAAUUAUGGAAACAUUGACGAGAUAACGAAUCGUUUCAUCCAGCUGUGCGAACGAACCGAAACCGGUGAGAUUAUUAUGUAAAUUCCAGAUUUUAAACAGUCCAUUAAUUAUGCUUUUUUCCGAUCAGGACAAUCGUAUGAUAUUUCUUGUCGACCGAUAGUUGUGAAACAUUCAUCCUCGAAGAAGGAGCGGGGGUGAAAUCGGCUUAUCACCUUCGGAAAAUAUGGGAUAAUGAUUUUUAAUUUUUUUUUACUAACAGUUUAUAACUAAAAGCACCUACUCUGUUAUCGACAUCGCCCCACUGAUAACACGACGAUUCUUUUGUCCGUUUUAUUUACGGUAAUCUGGAACAUGUUUUCAUAUUAUGUGAUUUACUGGACAGAUCCAUCAGGACGCACAAGAAAAUUGUACGUGUUUUUAGAUGCUUUCCGAAGUAAUAGAGAGUGAAGCAAAUUCAAAGAGAAUGCGUUUACGCAAUCGCUUCGCCCUCUGGAUUUUGUUUACAAAAAAUGUAAACGUUAAGUUAGGUGGACAUAUUAUAAGACCCAUUUAAUAAAUUCUUUUGGAUGUCAUUGCAAUAUUUCGCUACUUUCCGCGGGUUGGGAAGAAUAUGACAACGCAUUACGCGCGUGCGUCCCAUGUAGCUUGCGAAGCAAAAGAGAAAAAUAAAUGUAAAGGCCAUUAGAGUCAAAGCACCUCCGCGGUAAUUAUACUUUGUCUCUUCACAGGAUGUUCCAACGAUAUUUACAGCCGGUUGAGGGCCGUCGAAGAAUUAUGCAUUGAAGCGUGGGUGAAUCGAGUUUGCCACUUUCGAAGGAAGGCGAACAGUUUCUCACUACUGACAGCGUAGCGUGAGCUACUUAACUAUCAAUAAUAAUAAUAAGUAAUUGGAGUACCGAAGAAGCCGCUUUUAAAAUACUUUGGCGAUUUAACGAGUAAAUUUCUUUUAAGCCAUUUAUUAAAUAUAUCGUUAAACACGAGCAUCGAAUUCAAAGGAGAUAUUGCACGGUGAUCAUGACGAUUCAAUUCAAAAGAAGCAUUGAUAAAAUGUUUACAAUAAACGGUCUUCGAGGUAAUCGACGGGGAAAUUCACCAGCCACGAAACGCCACUGCUCCUGAGAUAUCUCUUCUCAAUUCGUCGCGCCCAGGUAGAUUACUUAACAGUUUUUAUCACGUGGAAGUUUGCAGUGUCCAGGUUUAGAGUUUCUUCUGGAGUCACUCUAUAGAUUGUUCAAUUUGUUACGCGACCGAUCAAUUGUUUCGUAUCUCGAAUAUCCCUGAAUAUUUUAAAGAACAUUAACACCGUCGAAAUUUCUCUAAGGAAAUUUUUUAAGCUUUAUCGAGAACGCAUCGAUAGUAGAAUAUCGAGAAAUGCUAAAUUAGUCUAACACUUUUGUCGAUAUUUUAGCGCAGGUCGAGCGAACCCCUUUUCUCAGCGCGUUCAUGCAUUGUACAGUGAAGAUAGAAAGUACACGGUCGCAAAUUAUACGACCAUCGAAGUUAAAACGUGGUUGCCAGGAUUAUACACGAUGGUUAGCAAUAACGGUGCAUUCGGGGAUAAAGUAAGGGAAAUCCUUCAUGGGAAAAAGACUUGAAAUCACAAAAUAAAAUAUCCAGGUACGCAUGAAUUUUUACGUUUAAGAAAUCCAAUUUCGACAAUAAAUCAGAUAUGCGUGCAUUUGAUUAAUUUCAAGACCUAGCCCAACGUAAUAAUUUGUAUAUCCCUUUAGGGCGAUUUCAUAGACAUUCGUCUCAAUUAAGUACGAGAUCCAUUAUAAAAAAAAAAAAUAAAAAAAUAAAAAAAAACCGUGUAACGCUACAAAUAAAAAUCUUUCGAUUUAGGUUUUUGGUCUUACGGGAUAAAAUGUGAAUCAAAUACUUGUGAGAGUUUUUUCUCAGGUUUUUUGGGGGA